rnacentral:rRNA from 1 species
CCCGGAUCAAUGGUUUGACGAUAAAAAAACUGUCUUUCUUUACUGGCUUUUAAAUUAUCUUAAGAGUGAAGAGACUCUUUUGUUAUAGCGGGACGAGAAGACCCCGUUGAGCUUUAACGAGUAUUAUUAGUUUUAUAAUUACUGGUUUUAGUUGGGGCAACUAUUUCUCUUUAUUAAACAGAAAUAAAACUAUCUCGAAUUGAAUCAAUUAUGACCCCUAAUUAUUAGGAGAAAUAAAAUAAGUUACCACGGGGAUAACAGCGUAAUUUUUUUUGAGAGUUCUUAUUGACAAAAAAGUUUGCGACCUCGAUGUUGGAUCAUAGUCUCCUAGGGGUGCAGCAGCUCCUAAGGGUUGGUUUGUUCAACCAUUAAAACUAUACGUGAUCUGAGUUC